GAGAAUGUUUGCUAUCUUGGUGGAGCAGCCGCAGCCAAGCAAGUAACUUGUAAAAUGAGGAAUGCCAUCACCCCUCGAGUGUCCAUCCCACAUAACUUGGGGUUAGAGCACAAGCGUUCCCAGGAACUACUCACCUUACCAUCUUGGCCGUUUCAUUUGUCUUCCACCAGUUCUGGAAAGAGAAGGCCUAGAAGUUCAGAAAAAAAGUAGGAAAAGUGCUUUUGGAGAAAAUCACCUGUCUCCUCAGAACUGGUCUUACAAGUCUGUGAAGUAACACUAUGUGCCAGCCUAAUCACUCAUAUAUGACCUCAAGAGAACACCAAAUAAGCAUAUUUCCAGCAGGAAAUGACCAGUGCUUUGGUUAAGAAUGCACAUUAUACUGCAGUUCUUUGGGGAAUGAAGCCACCCUUGACUGAGGUAUUAUGCCAACUCUCACCCUGUGAAUCCACUGACUGGGGAACAUUGUUUAAGAAAAUCACAUGGCUGUGCCAACAAGCAAGGUAGGAACGGCCAUGUGGUGACCUGUGGGCUGAAGUUAAGUGUUGUGGUUUGAUCAUUGUGUAAGGUAGAAUCAGAGCUGGAUCUCAAAGAAUGUUGACUUCAUUUCUUCUUCCUUUUUUUUUAAUUAGUUGAUUUGUUUGGUAUAUUUAUUUACUUAUAUAUUUUUUGCUUUGGGUUUUGGUUUUGUUUGCUUUAAGUUUUGGGAAUUCCUUACAGGAGACACGGCACAGAAGACAGAGGCAGAAGCAGCUUUAUUGAAAAACAGAGCAUGAGUAGAACGACUUCAAAUCCCAUAUGGCACCACACCUCUAGGAUGGACCCCCAUGAUCCCCACCUCCUGGUAUCCGCGCCAUGAUGCAAUCUGCUUACAGCCUAAAUCAGGAUGAACCAUAUGACUCAUAGAACACUGCAGAAGGCAUGAUGUGUGACUUCAGAUGUGAAGUCAUAGAGGACAAGGACACAGCCACCUUCUUGGAUUUCUCACUCUGUGGAAGGGCAGUGACAUUCCAUGAGACAAGCAGUCCUGUGGUGAGGCCCAUGUCAAGAAGGCCUGAGAUCUCCCACCAUCAGCUACAGCCAAUUUGUCAGUCACGUGAGUAAACCACCUGGGACGUGAAUCCUCUCGACUUAACCACCUCUUCAGGUGGCCAGAGCCCUAGCCCAGGUCUGACUGCAACCUGAUGAGAAACCCUGAGUAGGAAGACCUGCUUGAGCUGCUCCCAAAUUAU
rnacentral:lncRNA from 10 species